GGCACCGUGACUUAGUUGGUUAAUGUGCCUGUCUAGUAAACAGGAGAUCCUGGGUUCAAUUCCCAGCGGUGACU